rnacentral:sRNA from 1 species
ACAUUAGGGUGUAGCAGUAUUCUAGUCAAUCGGCCUACCCUGAAGGCGGGGCUAAAAAUCCGCUAAAGGGCACAUCGAUGAAGUUUCUGGUGUUGGCUUUCGACGCCCAGUCGGGGGCUUAUGCUGGAAGUUAAGGAUUUGGGGCGAUCCACAAAGGCAUGUGGGCGUUGACCCCAUUUCCGCGGAGGCCCAAGUGCGUGGCAGCACGUCAUCGAACGUAUUGUUAUGGCUUGGGGUAUGAACCUGCAUGCGACCUAUAAUGGGAUUGUGUGUAGCGUAGCCUGCCUUGCGUGGGGAAGAGGGGAUUAUAGGGUUCAGAUAUUGGUUUUUUGGCCAGAAAUCAGUAUUCGGUGCUAUAUGAAAUCUUUCUUGCAAAAGAGGCUAGGGGAUAGGCGCUGAUUGUUGAGGAAAUCUCCUAGACUGCUCUUCUCGAGACCUUAUGGGGAUUAGAGUGUGGACUAAGUGGUAAUCCAGUCUAAUGUAUGGUGACGACAUUAAGGCAGGUUUAAAUGGAAACGGCCUGAAUGGCAACGUUCAGGUACUUGCUUGGGAAAACCUACUGGACCUCAAGCCACAAUGUUUACUCAUAAGGUUAGCACCCUAAU